UGGGGAAUAUUGCACAAUGGAGGGAACUCUGAUGCAGCGACGCCGCGUGAACGAAGAAGGCUUUCGAGUCGUAAAGUUCUUAUAUAUGGGAAGAUAAUGACGGUACCAUAAGAAAAAGCCCCGGCUAACUACGUGCCAGCAGCCGCGGUAAUACGUAGGGGGCUAGCGUUGUCCGGAAUCACUGGGCGUAAAGGGUUCGCAGGCGGAAAUGCAAGUCAGGUGUAAAAGGCAGUAGCUUAACUACUGUAAGCAUUUGAAACUGCAUAUCUUGAGAAGAGUAGAGGUAAGUGGAAUUUUUAGUGUAGCGGUGAAAUGCGUAGAUAUUAAAAAGAAUACCGGUGGCGAAGGCGACUUACUGGGCUCAUUCUGACGCUGAGGAACGAAAGCGUGGGUAGCAAACAGG
rnacentral:rRNA from 1 species